rnacentral:rRNA from 1 species
UACGUAGGGUGCAAGCGUUAAUCGGAAUUACUGGGCGUAAAGGGCGCGUAGGCGGCCUUCUAAGUCGAACGUGAAAUCCCCGGGCUCAACCCGGGAACUGCGUCCGAUACUGGAAGGCUUGAAUCCGGGAGAGGGAUGCGGAAUUCCAGGUGUAGCGGUGAAAUGCGUAGAUAUCUGGAGGAACACCGGUGGCGAAGGCGGCUUACUGGGCUGUAACUGACGCUGAGGCGCGAAAGCGUGGGGAGCAAACAGG